CAGGGAUUGCCCCCAGUAACGGCGAGUGAAGCGGCAACAGCUCAAAUUUGAAAUCUGGCCUGCGGCCCGAGUUGUAAUUUGCAGAGGAUGCUUUUGGCGAGGCGCCUUCCGAGUUCCCUGGAACGGGACGCCAGAGAGGGUGAGAGCCCCGUAUGGUCGCGCGCCGAGCCUCUGUAAAGCUCCUUCGACGAGUCGAGUAGUUUGGGAAUGCUGCUCAAAAUGGGAGGUAUAUGUCUUCUAAAGCUAAAUAUUGGCCAGAGACCGAUAGCGCACAAGUAGAGUGAUCGAAAGAUGAAAAGCACUUUGAAAAGAGGGUUAAACAGUACGUGAAAUUGUUGAAAGGGAAGCGUUUGCGACCAGACUUGAGCCUGGCGAAUCAUCCGGCGUUCUCGCCGGUGCACUUCGCCAGGCACAGGCCAGCAUCAGUUUCCCGCGGGGGACAAAGGCGCCGGGAACGUGGCUCCUCGGAGUGUUAUAGCCCGGCGCGCAAUACCCUGCGGGGGACUGAGGUACGCGCACCGCAAGGAUGCUGGCGUAAUGGUCGUCAACGACCCGUCUUGAAACACGGACCAAGGAGUCGUCUUCGUAUGCGAGUGUUCGGGUGUAAAACCCCUACGCGUAAUGAAAGUGAACGCAGGUGAGAGCUUCGGCGCAUCAUCGACCGAUCCUGAUGUUCUCGGAUGGAUUUGAGUAAGAGCAUACGGGGCCGGACCCGAAAGAAGGUGAACUAUGCCUGUAUAGGGUGAAGCCAGAGGAAACUCUGGUGGAGGCUCGCAGCGGUUCUGACGUGCAAAUCGAUCGUCAAAUAUGGGCAUGGGGGCGAAAGG
rnacentral:rRNA from 1 species